ensembl:snoRNA SNORA70 Small nucleolar RNA SNORA70
CUGUCGCCAAUGAAGCUGAUGGCAUUCCUUUCCUCUUGGGAGCCCAGUGUGUAAACAUCAUAAACAACAGCCUCCUUGGCAGUGUACAUAGCUGGUUGCUUGCAAGGGUUGCUCUAGGGAACCUUGGAGACAGCC